rnacentral:rRNA from 1 species
AUUGAACGCUGGCGGCAUGCCUUACACAUGCAAGUCGAACGGUAACAGGUCUUCGGAUGCUGACGAGUGGCGAACGGGUGAGUAAUACGUCGGAACGUGCCUAGUAGUGGGGGAUAACUACUCGAAAGAGUGGCUAAUACCGCAUGAGAUCUACGGAUGAAAGCAGGGGAUCGCAAGACCUUGUGCUACUAGAGCGGCCGAUGGCAGAUUAGGUAGUUGGUGGGAUAAAAGCUUACCAAGCCGACGAUCUGUAGCUGGUCUGAGAGGACGAUCAGCCACACUGGGACUGAGAAACAGCCCAGACUCCUACGGGAGGCAGCAGUGGGGAAUUUUGGACAAUGGGCGCAAGCCUGAUCCAGCAAUGCCGCGUGCAGGAUGAAGGCCUUCGGGUUGUAAACUGCUUUUGUACGGAACGAAAAGCCCCGGGUUAAUACCCUGGGGUCAUGACGGUACCGAAAGAAUAAGCACCGGCUAACUACGUGCCAGCCGCCGCCGUAA